CCUACGGGGGGCAGCAGUGGGGAAUAUUGCGCAAUGGGCGAAAGCCUGAACCAGCCAAGUAGCGUGAAGGAUGACUGCCCUAUGGGUUGUAAACUUCUUUUAUAUGGGAAUAAAACAGGGUAUGCAUACCCUCUUGUAUGUACCAUAUGAAUAAGGAUCGGCUAACUCCGUGCCGGCAGCCGCGGUAAUACGGAGGAUCCGAGCGUUAUCCGGAUUUAUUGGGUUUAAAGGGAGCGUAGGUGGAUUGUUAAGUCAGUUGUGAAAGUUUGCGGCUCAACCGUAAAAUUGCAGUUGAAACUGGCAGUCUUGAGUACAGUAGAGGUGGGCGGAAUUCGUGGUGUAGCGGUGAAAUGCUUAGAUAUCACGAAGAACUCCGAUUGCGAAGGCAGCUCACUGGACUGCAACUGACACUGAUGCUCGAAAGUGUGGGUAUCAAACAGGAUUAGAUACCCGAGUAGUC
rnacentral:rRNA from 1 species